rnacentral:rRNA from 1 species
UAGUGAUUCUCGUUAAAACGGAUGACCUGUUCCCAUACCGAACACAGUAGUUAAGCCCACAAACGCCGAAAGUCAGCCGUCUUGCGGCGAAUAGAACAUAUUGUAUAGAUUACUGAAAUAGAAAGCAGAGUAUCGGCGACACACAGGCUCUAUUCAAAGACACGCGUGUCUUCCAUCGGCUGGAAACGGCCUGGGAGAAUAGGAAGUUGCCGGUUA